UACGUAGGUGGCAAGCGUUAUCCGGAAUUAUUGGGCGUAAAGAGCGCGCAGGUGGUUAAUUAAGUCUGAUGUGAAAGUCCACGGCUUAACCGUGGAGGGUCAUUGGAAACUGGUUGACUUGAGUGCAGAAGAGGGAAGUGGAAUUCCAUGUGUAGCGGUGAAAUGCGUAGAGAUAUGGAGGAACACCAGUGGCGAAGGCGGCUUCCUGGUCUGCAACUGACACUGAGGCGCGAAAGCGUGGGGAGCAAACAGG
rnacentral:rRNA from 1 species